rnacentral:rRNA from 1 species
UGCAGUCGAGCGAGGUCCAUCCGGUGGCAACACCGGGGAAGACCUAGCGGCGAACGGGUGAGUAACACGUGAGGAACCUGUCCCGAAGACCGGGAUAACACCGGGAAACCGGUGCUAAUACCGGAUACCCUUCUCUGGUCGCAUGGCCUAGGAAGGAAAUGGAUUCCGCUUCGGGAGGGUCUCGCGGGCUAUCAGCUUGUUGGUGGGGUAAUGGCCUACCAAGGCGACGACGGCUAGCUGGUCUGAGAGGACGACCAGCCACACUGGGACUGAGACACGGCCCAGACUCCUACGGGAGGCAGCAGUGGGGAAUCUUGCGCAAUGGGCGAAAGCCUGACGCAGCAACGCCGCGUGGGGGAUGAAGGCCUUCGGGUUGUAAACCCCUUUCAGCAGGAACGAAACUGACGGUACCUGCAGAAGAAGCCCCGGCCAACUACGUGCCAGCAGCCGCGGUAAUACGUAGGGGGCGAGCGUUGUCCGGAAUUAUUGGGCGUAAAGAGCUCGUAGGCGGCUUGGCAAGUCGGGUGUGAAACCUCCAGGCUCAACCUGGAGACGCCACUCGAGACUGCUAUGGCUAGAGUCCGGUAGGGGACCACGGAAUUCCUGGUGUAGCGGUGAAAUGCGCAGAUAUCAGGAGGAACACCGGUGGCGAAGGNGGUGGUCUGGNCGGCACUGACGCUGAGGANCGAAAGCGUGGGUAGCAAACAGGAUUAGAUACCCUGGUAGUCCACGCCGUAAACAUUGNCACUAGGNGUGGGGNCUUAUCAACGGGCUCCGUGCCGUAGCUACGCAUUAAGUGCCCCGNCUGGGGANUACGGCGCA